rnacentral:rRNA from 1 species
UCCUACGGGGGGCAGCAGUGGGGAAUAUUGCACAAUGGGGGGAACCCUGAUGCAGCGAUGCCGCGUGGAGGAAGAAGGUUUUCGGAUUGUAAACUCCUUUUAUCAGGGACGAUAAUGACGGUACCUGAAGAAAAAGCUCCGGCUAACUACGUGCCAGCAGCCGCGGUAAUACGUAGGGAGCGAGCGUUGUCCGGAAUUACUGGGUGUAAAGGGUGCGUAGGCGGCUUUGCAAGUCAGAAGUGAAAUCUAUGGGCUUAACCCAUAAACUGCUUUUGAAACUGCAGGGCUUGAGUGAAGUAGAGGUA